ensembl:snoRNA Small nucleolar RNA Z17
GGUGCACAUGAUGGUAAUAGCGAUCAAAGCAUGAAAAAGCAUGAUUCCAGUUUUUUUAAACUUCUGAUGCACC